rnacentral:rRNA from 1 species
CAAGGUUAAAACUCAAAUGAAUUGACGGGGGCCCGCACAAGCGGUGGAGCAUGUGGUUUAAUUCGAUGCAACGCGAAGAACCUUACCUGGUCUUGACAUCCACGGAAGUUUUCAGAGAUGAGAAUGUGCCUUCGGGAACCGUGAGACAGGUGCUGCAUGGCUGUCGUCAGCUCGUGUUGUGAAAUGUUGGGUUAAGUCCCGCAACGAGCGCAACCCUUAUCCUUUGUUGCCAGCGGUCCGGCCGGGAACUCAAAGGAGACUGCCAGUGAUAAACUGGAGGAAGGUGGGGAUGACGUCAAGUCAUCAUGGCCCUUACGACCAGGGCUACACACGUGCUACAAUGGCGCAUACAAAGAGAAGCGACCUCGCGAGAGCAAGCGGACCUCAUAAAGUGCGUCGUAGUCCGGAUUGGAGUCUGCAACUCGACUCCAUGAAGUCGGAAUCGCUAGUAAUCGUGGAUCAGAAUGCCACGGUGAAUACGUUCCCGGGCCUUGUACACACCGCCCGUCACACCAUGGGAGUGGGUUGCAAAAGAAGUAGGUAGCUUAACCUUCGGGAGGGCGCUUACCACUUUGUGAUUCAUGACUGGGGUGAAGUCGUAACAAGGUAACCGUAGGGGAACCUGCGGUUGGAUCACCUCCUUACCUUAAAGAAGC